UUAUAUAAUGAGUUCACACGUAAGCGCUGCUUUAUAUUUGGGCUGCGUUCCCACCCCACAGCCUUCCGAUUUAUCCCGGGUUAGAACCUGCGAUGCAAAUAAAGGGUCACAAAUCUAUUUAAAUAAACUGCCGUGUUUGUAAGAAGCAGGAGUUUCAUCUGGUUGUGGUUCUGCACUCGUUCCGACAAUGCGUAUUCUGGUGUUCAGUGUAUUAUCCGCACUGUGCUUACAAAAUGUCCAGUCCCAGGUGUCCUUGACGGAGACCGGCGGAGGGGUGAAGAAACCCGGGGAGUCCCUGCGGCUCAGCUGUAAAGGUUCGGGGUUCACCUUCAGUAGCUACUACAUGCACUGGGUCCGACAGCAGCCCGGGAAAGGGCUCGAAUGGGUAGCCAGAAUCAGCUAUGACUCUAGUAGCAAGUAUUACUCCCCCUCACUGAAGGACCGGACCACCAUCUCCAGGGACAAUUCCCAGAGCCUCCUGUAUCUGGACAUGACGAACCUGAAACCCGAAGACACCGGCACCUAUUACUGCGCUACAGACACAGUGACUGAAACCAGUGAGGGACCCGUACAAUAACCUCCUACACAAGGGGGGGGGGGGUAAUCAUGAGAGCUUACUCAAAGAUACACCCAGUACGACUUAGUACACAACGUUUCCCAGUUCAAGUGUGCCAGAUAUUCCGAUUCUAAACAAAUAACACAAAUUAAAGUGUAUCACACCCAAAGAUGUAAGCUUCUCGUAUGCUAGCCUCUAACAACGAUUAAAGGUCACGAAUCGAUUUGAAUGACUUUAGUGCCUGUUUGAUAUUAAUGUUUGAGAUAUGUAGCGCCAGCAUAGAAACAGUUCAGUUUUCGUAGACGGUAGCAGCCUGGUAGUCUGUAUGGGGCAGGGAGGGGAACGACAAUGAUCUCGAAAAAUUGUGUCCAGCUUCACAGAUGAUAUCCUGUAGCUUGUGAAAACCUUCUUAUGUGAAAUCCUUGCAUUCUUCGCAGUCGUAAGUAAACUCAGCAUGGUCCAUUCCGCAGUGCUUGUCGCCAUCUGGCGCCCAACUUUUAAAUUGCAAUGCUAUUAAAAUGCAAAGAAGAGGAAAAUGGUACUGAAUUAAUAUUGCAUACAUUCCCCACGACCGCAGACCUCUGUACAUAAUUUUGAAGCUGUACCUUAUUACGGGCAAUG